CUGACCUUUAUUUUCUUAUUAUAAUCUCAGAUAAGCAGUUAAAUGGAAAUAAGAGAAAAUGAGCUAUUUCUAUAUACAAAUAGGCCUUGAUUUUUUUAACUUUCUAACUAAACUAAUUUAUUUUGAAGCACAUUAUAUUUACAUUUUCAUCCAUGUUUAGAAUUAAACACUUUGACUGGCUAUCCUUGCAUACAAAAGGAGUCCAGGAAAAAAAUUUCCAAAACAAAAAAUGGAAAGUAAGAUCCUAAAUCAAUCAAUUUAUUUUAAAAGUCUCUAAGAACCUGGAAAUGCUCUUAGGUAGACUGAAGAGUCACAAGUCUCAUACUCAUUUGUCAGUAGCCACAAACCUACUUUGUCCCUUCUGUGGUCAUCUGUCCCCUUGAUGUGGGAUUAAAUGAAGCCUGGACCACUCAGGGGUAAGCCAUUUUCAGAUAAUGGGGCUUACUUUGUCAAAGUUGUGAUGCAGAACACACAAAAUCCUGGCUCCUGGUGAGACUUAAGUGAUGUGCCAGUGGCUAAUGCUUAACAACUCACUUGAUGAUCUAUGAAUAUUAAUGUUAGGCCAUUCACUUGUAGAUUUCAGACAGGGAAUAUUUUAGAACCUUUUUUUCCCUAAUUCAUGCCUUAUGAGAUAAAAUGUGCUUGAGAACACUGUUUUAAAUUACCAGCACCCCUUCUACUCAAGUGCUACAUGCAGAAAGAGAAGUCAAGUUAUUCCCAGCAUUGCAAUGCAGUAUUCUCCAAUAGCAGCAAAGUUUCCAGGCUAGCUCACAGGGGCUAGCCUAGUGGAAAUAUUAACAAAUUGCUGAAUAACUCUCGUAUAUGGAUGCAAUUUCAUCCACUGAGACCAUGUACAAUGCCUGGGAGCAUAGAGAUGCUCAGACCAUUGCCCUCUGAGGACUUGUUUUGAAUGAGAGGCAACAAACAGCUUCCACAGUGGAUCGGAUUCUCUUUGUUCUUGGCCUAAGAUGUAGAUUAUAAGUGCCCAGCCUUCCUAUUUCUCCUGGUACCUGUGCAAGCUGAUGGCUCACAGCAGGUGGGGCACACAUUCAGUGGCCUUGUUAGUCUAGCUUUAGAAGUCCAUAAGAUAAAAGGCAAAGUUUGAGUUCCCAAAUAAUUCAUAAUAAACAGCAUAUAUUUUAACAACCUUUUUGACUGUCUUUUUUCCAACAAAAGACAUUUUCUCAUCUAUUGUUUAAAAUAAAAUUCCACAGGCUCUGCUUUGACCUGCAGUAUUUUAUCUAUCCUGAGUCUCAGGACACUGUCGAUGGAAUUAAUGUAUAAUGUGUUAAGGCCUGUGUGACUUUCUCUUGUUUACUUUGGGGGGAAGGAUGCCAGGCACAUAUGCAAUGUCUCAGUGCUAAUGCUCUAUGAUGGAUUAACUCAAAGCAUUGGGAGAUGACUCAUAUUAUUGUAGCAUGCUUUCCGUUAUUGAAGGUGGAGGGUGGGUGGUGGUAGAAUGUGAUUCUACAGAAAAGGUCCACGUCUUCAGAAGUUCUCCUGGCACUUUUUAUUUUGAGGCAAAUGUGCUCAGUUUUUGUUCUCAUUCUGUCUUUUGAGUUCUGAUACCCAGCAGGAUUUUCACAUGUGUUUAUGUUGAAAUUAAACCAAUGCAAAAAUUUUUACCCGAUAUGUUGCUAAUUCCUGAGCCUAUUCUAUUUACAGUUUUUUCCUCCUGCAUAACCCAUAUCUUAUUAAAUGUCUUUUCUUCUUCUAGAUUGUUUUCAAUAGCAGCUCAAUUUUAGUUUUAUUCAGUCUCAAUUUUAGAAAAACCCUGAGAUUAGCCAAAUAUUUGAACAUUGUUAGGUAUUAAUCAGUUUAAUCAGAAAAAAAGAUAUAGGAACAUUUCCUACAGUUCCAGAAGAGUGAGCUGUACUAGCUGAGGGUUAUUUAAUAACAAGUAGUAUUUCAUCAAAGCUUACAUAUGUGGACACUAAUGAUGAGUCAUCACCAGAGGAAGAUGAAAAAUCUGCAGUCUGUAUUUGUGUUGAUGCCACAUUUCAGGGCAAAGGUUUUGCAUCCAGACCAUGCACUCUACCAUCCUAAAUCCAUGGGUGCUGUGCCAGUGGCUGUUUUCAUACUAAAAAUGUAGGGAGAAAAUGGGCUAACUCCUGGGCUCUCUGACUGCAGUCAGGCCAAGGACGAGGGAACCAGCAUCUGUUCACUAGGGUGAGGAUUUAAAGCAUCUUCUGAGUUUUCAAAUCCUACCAAGAAAAGCUUCAGAGGCAGACCUUGAGUCUCUUUGAACUCCAUCCUGUCUUUGAAUGACUGGGCUCCUCAGCAGGUCUACAGAUGUCUAGUUCUUUGUGGGGUGGUGGUAACUCUUGACAUUUAUUGUCCAGAUCUGAUCUGCAGCACUUAGGAUGCCUCCAGCCUAUGGAGAUGGAGUAUACAUCAUGCAUGUUCACUGUACAUGCUACACCACUUCUCAAGCCUCAACCUCUAUCAAAGGGCUUUUGGGAAUGGCCCAAGAUGGGAGUAACCUCUCUUUUCAGCUGCGUCAAAUUCUUACACCACGUUCUUUUGUUUUUUUCCUCAUAAUACAAGGCCAAGCACAUCUGCAAAAAAGACAUUGCUGGAGGAGGUGCAAGAGCUGGAAACCAAGUUUCCUGUCCUGGGAAAAGCAGUGGUGUGGAAGAGCAGUGGAAAGAGAUGGGUAACAGACUAUCUUCAGCCUGUACUCCUCUGGAGUGCAUUAUGAAGCAUUGGGACUCCUAUGACCCCAGGACUUUGAAGAAAAAGUGGCUAAUUUUCUUUUGCACAAAGCUGUGAGACAAUGAAACUCGAGUGUUACUCCAGACAUCGAAGCUAUUUUAUUAUGAAAGCAUACUUCUGAUUAUGCAGUCUCCUGCUUAAAUUUUUUAAAUGGCUUUCCAUUAGAAUGAAAUUUAAAAGUCCUUUAUGCCCUGAAAGCCUACACCAAUUGACUCCUAGCUUCAUCUGUGAGUAUCUUAUUUCUUUUCUUACUUUACCAUAAUGACUGUAUCAGCUAGGGUUGAUUGUUGCAUAAGCCACAGAAGUAAAUUCUGUGCAAUUUAAGCAAAAAGGGGGAAUAUAUUACCUAUUUCUGCUUGUUGCACAGAAUUAAGUGCAAUGCCUGUCUCGUAAUUCUGGAAGGACAGAAAUAAGCUUAGUUUUAAGAGUUAGAUGAACAAGAAUUAACUAAUAGGCUUCAUUUUACUACCAUUGGACUAACAUAGGUCUGACCAUUUUCUGCCCUUUUGAGUACAUGUUUAAAGUUUAAACACCCAAGAGAAACUAUUAUUGUCUUGGCAUGUGUCACAUGUUCAGCCAUGGGCCAAGAGGGUAUGAAAUGUGGGAGGCACAAUUCACUGAUAGAAAAUAUAAUGCUAUUUGGGAAAGAAUAUAAUGCUAUUUGAAAGGAAUUCUGAGUAAGUAAAAACAACAGAAAUUGUUUCUAAGGAUUUCUUAUUAGUCGAUGCGUCACUUUUGCAGAGAUACCUGCUCUAAACUGUUAAUCUCAGUGGUCAUCUUUUAAAAUUCUGUCAAAGCACAUUUCAACUUUUUGUUGGGAACAGACCCCCCAAAAUUUGGCCAUAAACUGGUCCCAAAACUGGUCAUAAACAAAAUCUCUGCAGUACUGUGACAUGUUCAUGAUGGCCAUGAUGCCCAUGCUGGAAGGUUGU